rnacentral:sRNA from 1 species
GUUGACUAUAAGCGUAAUUGACCUAGACUCUUAGGCGGCUAGAAAGAAAGUUCUUUGUUUUCACAUUUCGUUGGAUUACUCGUAACCCCUCGUCCUGUGGUACGCAAUAGCAAUUUAUUUUUUCACGCUAUAAGCGCCGAUUAGGCGAGAUUUACAGUAAUAGAUAUUUAGGAAAUAAACAUGUCUCAGAAAACUACUGGUACAGUUAAGUGGUUCAACGAAACUAAAGGCUUCGGUUUCAUUCAACAAGAAAACGGCCCUGACGUUUUCGCUCAUUUCUCUGCAAUCCAAGGUGACGGUUUCAAAACUCUUGCUGAAGGCCAGAAAGUAGAAUUCGAAGUUACUCAAGGUCAAAAAGGUCCACAAGCUGAGAAAAUCACUGUACUUUAAGCCUUUUAAGAUUUUGAUGGUAGCCAGCUUUUAGCUGGCUAUUUUUU